rnacentral:rRNA from 1 species
AGGAUGAACGCUGGCGGCGUGCCUAAUACAUGCAAGUCGAGCGGUAAGGCCCCUUCGGGGGUACACGAGCGGCGGACGGCUGAGUAACACGUAGGAACGUACCCCAAACUGAGGGAUAAGCACCAGAAAUGGUGUCUAAUACCGCAUGUGCUCUUCGGAGUAAAGCUUCGGCGGUUUGGGAGCGGCCUGCGCAUGAUUAGCUUGUUGGUGAGGUAAAAGCUCACCAAGGCGACGAUCAUUAGCUGGUCUGAGAGGAUGAUCAGCCAGACUGGGACUGAGAACGGCCCAGACUCCUACGGAGCAGCAGUAGGGAAUUUUCCACAAUGGGCG